rnacentral:lncRNA from 1 species
GCAAGGGAAGCAGAAAUCCUAAGGGUAAAGGAAGCUGAAGCUAAAGCUCUGGCCGAUGCUGCUGCUGCUGCCGAAGCUGAAGCACAGGCUGCUGCUGAAGCUGAAGCACAGGCUGCUGAUGAAGCUGAAGCAAAGGCCGCUGCUGAAGCACAGCAGGCUCUGACUCAGGGGGAGUCCUCAUCUGUCGUUCCUAUGGUUCUCCAGACGCUGGAAGAACUGAAGAAAGAUUAGAAGGAACUCCG